UAAGCAGUUGGAUGCCAUGAACCGCUUAG
rnacentral:piRNA from 1 species